ensembl:snoRNA
CCUGCCGCUAGAAACAUUGCAGGUGUGGCCUGCUGUGUCACAUGUGCUUGAGUAGGUGGCAGAGAGGAGAGAGGCUAGGUCCACACUCAGUGCUCUGACCUAUAAACAUCAAAAUGAUCAGUAGCCUAACAGU